rnacentral:rRNA from 1 species
GACAGAGGUGCCGAGCGUUAGGCGGAACCACUGGGCUUAAAGCGUGUGUAGGCGGGUCGUUAAGUGUCUUGUGAAAUCCCACCGCUCAACGGUGGAACCGCUGGGCAUACUGGCGAUCUUGAGCAGUCCAGGGGCGAGCGGAACAAGCGGUGAAGCGGUGAAAUGCGUAGAUAUCGCUUGGAACGCCGACGGUGAAAACAGCUCGCUGGGGACUCGCUGACGCUGAGACACGAAAGCCAGGGGAGCGAACGGG